rnacentral:lncRNA from 1 species
CCAUCUAAGAUAUAAAAUUACAAGUUUGACCAAAUGUGCCAGUUGUCCACUUAUUUUCUCUCAGCUCUGAAUUCAUCCUUUCCUGUCUGCUCUGCAGAAAUGAACUUGGACCCUUUAAACAUUUUUCCUUUGCUAGUUGGCAUGAUGUUAGAUCGACAUUGUAAGAGGAGAUUUUCCUCUUCUUUCCAAGAGUCUUGUGUGCUCCUCUUGGCAGGCUUCUGUACUGCAACACAGCUUCUCCAGUGUCCAGAUCCAGAACCCGUGCAGUUUGCUCCAUUGUCAGGCUCCUGAAGUGCACAGCAGUCAGCAGCACCCAGUAUCUUCCACCAGUACCUCCACAAGGCAGUAUUAUAGCAGAGUGAUUCGGAUGAGACAGAUUUCUACCACAGCAACUUCUCUUCAUUCAGUGAGCCACAGCCAUGCCCCCUCAAACAGGGUCUGGAUCUUAAUCCCAGAGGCCCUGGAUGUUCUAUCUUAACCCCAGGGGUUGAUGCUCCUUUUAUCUGUUAUUCUUAUAUUCCUUAGAGUUCUCUUUACUUUUUACUAGCCAAUCCUCAUUGCUCCAAAACCCUGUUAUAGCUAGCAGUUCUUCGUAUUAAUCUUUCCUUGUUCAAAUUACAUGUGAUUUCUCUAUUCUAAUCAAACACUGACUGAUAGAUCAAAUUUCAGGCAAUUAAUCAAAUUGAGAAAAUUAUAGGGCAUUAUGUCUAAUUUGUUAUUUUAUAUAUUAGCAAACACAUAAGAUCUGAUAAUCAGAAAGUUCAGAGCGCUAAACCAAAGUCUCUAAAGAAUGGAAGGAAUCAGUUCACAGGAUAUAUGCUUGUUAAUGCUACUCCCAUUUGGGGGAAGUAUAAUUUUCUCCAGUAACCAUGAAAAAUAAGAGAUCACUUUGUUUCUUCUGAUGAUUUAUUUUUAUUUUAAAAGGGAAAUGAAAAUCUGAAAAAUAUAAAAGUUUAAGAAGACAAAGUAGAAACAGUCAAUGGCUCCAUUUCUCUGGCAAACUAAUCAACCAAACUGUUCUAUCUACAUUUGACGGGAAACCCAAAAUUUCAGUGAUCCCACACUAAUGUUCACAUUGUUUUUCUGCUAUAUAGGAACACUUUUAACAUGUUCCCUCUGUCUCACUGUUUGUCAUGUACUCUCUGUAGACUACUUUGCCAACAUUAAAAUGAAAUGUUCAGCAUCAAGCUCAUCAUUCCUGUCUCACUUCACUCCGAAAUCUGCUAGCCACAGAGUUAAAAGGACAGGAUUAAGAGUCAUUAGACACAGUAUUAAGGAGAAUUAAAGGGCCUGUUCAAGAGGCAUAACAUCUGCUCCUCAAAUUCCUGCCUAAACAACGAAGAUUCCGAUCAAAGAGAAGAGAGGGAAAGCCAAUCUAACCAGUAAACCGGAGUCAUGAGGAAGUGAAUGCUCUCUCAGGGAGUAACUCUGACACCAGAGGAAGGCUUAGUGACAUUGCACAAUUGUUUCUGUGAAGUCAUUCAUGGGGCAAGUGGGAGUAUAUGAGUAGAAGUGGAAGGGAGUGGGAAGGUGAAGAUUGAGGAUCCUUUUAAGUAGUUUUUGCUCAGCUAGCAAAACAAGCUGGGACAUGCAAGACAGAUAAACACAGCUGUUUGGGGCUGUCACUUGGGGCUCAGGAGCCAAGGUGUCCUGCUGUAGUGAAAAGUGCACCGGAAUUAAAUAGCUAGGCUUCUAAGCCCUACCACAGAGAGUCAACAGACAAACUGCCCAGGGAAAAGUUAUGACCUCAGGCAAAGUGAAUUUCUACAGCUAAGGCAGAUCCUGAAGAAGCUCACAAAUAAAGGCUGCAUACUCACACAUUCCCUGAAGCUUGACAGUGCCAGCCACCAUACUGUGAGGGAGCUGAAGUAAGCCCACAUGAGGAAGAAUUGAGGUCCCAAGCCAACAGCUGCAGCUAAGAUCCAAGCUCUCAACCAGUACCAGUUCAUCCGUUAUGCACACUAAGAUAUGGAAGCUAAAAGAGGACUAAGAGGAUUCUGGGGAUAUUACAAGAUAUUGCAGACUAUCUUGUUUUCCUGGAAAAGGAUUUUACCUCAGUCGACUGAAUUACUUUUUUCACUGUGUCUUGCCACUCUUCGUGCAUGCAUCAAAGACCCUAAUAUGACUUCUGGUGGCCUGGGACUCCUUGGGAAAACAGAAAAGGGGCCACAAAUCCCAUUUUGGGAACAAUCUGUUUUACUCAUGGAACCCCUGGAAUUAGAGAAACCAUCAAGCUUUAAAUGGUGUGGCAAAAGGAGCUGAAAAUUAAACUGACCUUCUACUGCAUACCCUUAAAUUGACCCAGGAGGAGCCCUAGCUGCUAUUCCCAUGCCACGCCCCUCUCCAGCAGGAAGUAGCCAGAGUAAGUCGACGCCCAAUUCCCCGUAACAGCAGUUAGGAAUUUCAUUCCUGAGGGGGGUGUUUGUUAUAGGAGAUAAAAAUAAAUUAUUUGGGUAGACAGAGUAAAGAGAGUCCCCGGCAGAAUACUUUCCUUCUAACAAAAAGCAGCUCAGAAAUGGCUCCCUUUCUAACCUUGUGAAGUUCAAAGAAAUCAUUUCUCUU